rnacentral:rRNA from 1 species
CGAGUUUGAUCCUUGCUCAGGAUGAACGCUGGCGGUAUGCUUAACACAUGCAAGUCAAACGAAUAAGAUGGAAACAUUGAAUUAGUGGCGGACGGGUGAGUAACAUGUAAGAAUCUACGCUUAGGUGAGGAGCAACAAAUGGAAACGUUUGCUAAUCCCUCAUAAUUGGCUAAUAAGUUAAAGAAAAUUUCGCCUAAGCACGAGCUUGCAUCUGAUUAGCUAGUUGGUGGGGUAAAGGCCUACCAAGGCAACGAUCAGUAGCUGAUUUGAGAAGAUGAUCAGCCACACUGGGAUUGAGAACGGAACAGACUUCUACGGAAGGCAGCAUCUGAGGACCAUAUUUCCGCAACUGGGCGAAAGCUUGACGGAGCAAUACCGCGUGGAGGAAGAAUGCCUUUGGGUUGUAAACUCCUUUUCUCAAAGAAGAAUAUAUGACGGUAUUUGAGGAAUAAGCAUCGGCUACGACUUCCGUGCCAGCAGCCGCGGUAAUACGGGAGAUGCAAGCGUUAUCCGGAAUUAUUGGGCGUAAAGGGUUUGUAGGUGGUCAAGUAUGUUUAAUGUUAAAUGUCAAAGCUUAACUUUGAAAUUGCAUUAAAAACGGCUAGACUUGAGUAUGUUAGGGGUAAAGGGAAUUUCCAGUGUAGCGGUGAAAUGCGUAGAUAUUGGAAAGAACACCAAAGGCGAAGGCACUUUACUAGGUCAAUACUGACACUGAGAAACGAAAGCUAAGGGAGCAAACAGGAUUAGAUACCCUGGUAGUCUUAGCCGUAAACGAUGGAUACUAGGUGGUGCUAAAACUGCACUGCUGUAGUUAACACGUUAAGUAUCCCGCCUGGGGAGUACGCUUGCAAAAGUGAAACUCAAAGGAAUUGACGGGGGCCCGCACAAGCGGUGGAGCAUGUGGUUUAAUUCGAUGCAACACGAAGAACCUUACCAGGGUUUGACAUGCUAGGAAAUAAUUUGAAAGAGUUAUGUGCCUUAGGGAACCUAGACACAGGUGGUGCAUGGCUGUCGUCAGCUCGUGUCGUGAGAUGUUGGGUUAAGUCCCGCAACGAGCGCAACCCUUGUUUUUAGUUAACGCGUGGUAUUUAAAAAGACUGCCGGUUAUAUGCCGGAGGAAGGUGAGGACGACGUCAAGUCAUCAUGCCCCUUAUACCCUGGGCUACACACGUGCUACAAUGGUUAAGACAACGAGAAGCAACCUUGUGAAAGGGAGCCAAUCUUCAAACUUAAUCUUAGUUCGGAUUGUAGGCUGCAACUCGCCUAUAUGAAGAAGGAAUCGCUAGUAAUCACCGGUCAGCUAUACGGUGGUGAAUACGUUCUCGGGCCUUGUACACACCGCCCGUCACACCAUGGAAGUCGGCUGUGCCCGAAGUUGUUAUCUUAACUGUAAAGAAGGAAAUACCUAAGGCCUGGCUGGUGACUGGGGUGAAGUCGUAACAAGGUAGCCGUACUGGAAGGUGUGGCUGGAACAACU